rnacentral:lncRNA from 1 species
ACACACAUCACACAACACACACACACACCACACACACACCUCACACAUCACACAAAACACACCCCACACAUACCACAUGCACACACACACACCUCACACAUCACACAAAACACACCCCACACAUACCACAUGCACACACACACACAUCACACAACACAUACACACCACACACACACCUCACACAUCACACAAAACACACCCCACACAUACCACAUGCACACGCACGCACACCACACACACACCUCACACAUCACACAAAACACACUCCACACAUACCACAUGCACACACACACAUCACACAGCACAUACACGCACACACCACACACACCUCACACAUCACACAAAACACACCCCACACAUACCACAUGCACACACACACAUCACACAGCACACAACACAUACACACACACCACACACACACCUCACACAUCACACAAAACACACCCCACACAUACCACAUGCACACACACACAUCACACAGCACAUACACACACACCACACACACACCUCACACAUCACAUAAAACACACACACACCACAC